rnacentral:rRNA from 1 species
GAUGAACGCUGGCGGCGUGCCUAAUACAUGCAAGUCGAGCGAACAGACGAGGAGCUUGCUCCUCUGACGUUAGCGGCGGACGGGUGAGUAACACGUGGAUAACCUACCUAUAAGACUGGGAUAACUUCGGGAAACCGGAGCUAAUACCGGAUAAUAUAUUGAACCGCAUGGUUCAAUAGUGAAAGACGGUUUUGCUGUCACUUAUAGAUGGAUCCGCGCGGCAUUAGCUAGUUGGUAAGGUAACGGCUUACCAAGGCAACGAUGCGUAGCCGACCUGAGAGGGGGAUCGGCAACACUGGAACGGAGACACGGUCCAGACGACGACGGGAGGGAGCAGUAGGGAAUGUUACGCAAAGGGCGAAAGCCUGACGGAGCAAGGCCGCGGGAGUGAUGAAGGUCUUCGGAUCGUAAAACUCUGUUAUUAGGGAAGAACAGAUGUGGAAGGAACAGUGCACAUCUUGACGGUACCGAAUCAGAAAGCCACGGCUAACUAAGUG